CCUACGGGAGGCAGCAGUGAGGAAUAUUGGUCAAUGGCCGAGAGGCUGAACCAGCCAAGUCGCGUGAGGGAAGACGGCCCUACGGGUUGUAAACCUCUUUUGUCGGGGAGCAAAGCGAGUCACGUGUGACUCAUUGAGAGUACCCGAAGAAAAAGCAUCGGCUAACUCCGUGCCAGCAGCCGCGGUAAUACGGGGGAUGAGAGCGUUAUCCGGAUUUAGUGGGUUUAAAGGGUGCGCGGGCGGAGGUGAAAGUCAGCGGUCAAAUUGCGGGGCUCAACCCCGUACUGCCGGUGCAACUGCAUGCCUUGAGUGCGCGAGAGGUAGGCGGAAUGCGUGGUGUAGCGGUGAAAUGCAUAGAUAUCACGAAGAACUCCGAUUGCGAAGGCAGCAUACCGGCGCGCAACUGACGCUCAUGCACGAAAGCGUGGGUAUCGAACAGGAUUAGAUACCCUAGUAGUC
rnacentral:rRNA from 1 species